rnacentral:rRNA from 1 species
GAUCCCGGCUCAGGAUGAACGCUGGCGGCGUGCUUAACACAUGCAAGUCGAACGAAGCGCUUAAGAUUGAUUCUUCGGAUGAAGUCUUUUGUGACUGAGUGGCGGACGGGUGAGUAACGCGUGGGUAACCUGCCUCAUACAGGGGGAUAACAGUUAGAAAUGACUGCUAAUACCGCAUAAGCGCACGGUGUCGCAUGACACAGUGUGAAAAACUCCGGUGGUAUGAGAUGGACCCG